UUUUUGAUUGGCCGAGCGGUUUCAGCUCGUUCAUUCAGUUCAUUGCCAGUGAAAUAGCAGCUUGCCGUUGCAAGUUGAAGUUAGUCGAUCAGUCUAGUAAGACGAAGUCAGUAGUUGGACUGUUUUAGUUGCUUCUGCCAUAUUUAUAGUUUUCGGAAAUGAUUAGAAGAUUUGAUCAAGGAUUUCCAUUUAAAACGGUGGAAUUUGAAAACGAUUCUUGCGACAACGUGGAUUUCCAAGCCUUUCCACUGCGCACCGUGAUAAAGAAGCGUCCAUUAUUGGUGGCGCCAGUUUUGCUAAUGCCAGCAAUAGCAAAACGCCUGGGCUUCAACGCAUUGCUGCCGUUUCUUGUGGCCGCAACAGUCUGUCUGCUCUCAAACGAGAAACAGCGUCUUAGUUAAGGUCUUGGAUAUCCAUAACUUUUAGAGAUGAUUAAAAGUGGAACAACUUGAGCGCGAACAGCAAAACGCCGUCACCAAUCACCACUGCGAUUUAUUUAAAGAUAUUGUGGGAAAUCCUAUGGACAGACGUGCAGUCAACUACAACUCGAACAAGCUUCAGGAUUCUUUUCCUGUGAAUUUGCACAUGGACGGCGAUUCGACGCUCGCGAACAGUCUCGAAUGAUUUCGUGAAAAUUCUAGUGAAUUGACUUGGAUAUCCGUGGUUAUGUUUGUAAACAUUAUUACUAAAAUUAUUUAAGAAAUUAGCGUUCUGUAUUAUGAAUGUUUUUUCUGCAUUUGUAACUUUGUGGUAGAAGGUCGCUGUACACCUUGGAUUUCCGAAAUAUCUGUUCUCGCGUUAGAAUUUUCGA